rnacentral:lncRNA from 1 species
UACGAUUUAACUAAUAAUAUAUUACAUAACCGUUACAAAAAGAAAUAAUAUAUUAUUUACGAGGUUAAUUUGUGUAAGGUUGUACCAAAGCAGGCUAAAUAGUAACCAAAGCAGAAUAGAAUCCAAGAAUAGCAACCAUGAACUGUAGGAAAAUAUUUGUACGAACAAUAAAUAGUUAAUUCUCGACCCAGAAAUGGUCUCUCAUGAUCAUGUGCUGCUGUGUAUAUAUAAACCCCAAGAACAUUAAAACCAGAAAUUAUUAGCAGGUCGAUUGAUUUCUAACACUUGGGUUCCCCACAGAUCUUUAAUUACGAAUUUAAUUCGAAGAUUUGCAUUAACUCGUCCAGGAUCUUGCGGAAGGCAAAAAAAAAAAUGCAAAAUUAUAAAAAAUAUCUACCAAAGAGCAGCAGCAAGCAACAGCAGCAGAAAAGAUGACAGUUUACAGUGCAGUGCAAGUUGUGUUCGAAAUAAAAACCAGCUGGCAGAACCUACUAUCCUUCAUCAUCGUUAAUAAUAAUGAUAAUACCAGGACCAUUAGACAUUAGUCCAUGCCUCCUCCAUAUUCAAAUCACAAACUAUUUCCUGCUUUCAUGAAAUCAAACCAGACAAUUGCGUCGCAUAAUUACUAGCUUUCAUUCUGACUAGAUCUACAGAUAUAAAUGGUAUUGAAGUAUAUGUAUAAUGGUCCUCAAAUUCUCAAAGAUUUAAAUAUAACGGUUGGUUGCCAAACAUCAAAAGAAAAAAAGUCAAGCUGAAGGCUAAUGUGUGGAUUAAUUGAAUUAGAGUAGAAAAAGAUUUGGCAUGAGUGCAUGCAUGCAGGACUGAAAUUAGACAUGAGGGAAAAGUGAAGAGAGUUAGGUCAGAUACUCUGAUACCAGAAACCCAAUCUUCAGCAAACCAAUAAUGUGAGACAUAGAACAAGGAUGUGUUACGUAUCUUUCUAACCUAGAAACUCUUCCCAACAAAU